GAACUUAAGCAUAUCAAUAAGCGGAGGAAAAGAAACCAACAGGGAUUACCUCAGUAACGGCGAGUGAAGCGGUAACAGCUCAAAUUUGAAAUCUGGCCUCACGGUCCGAGUUGUAAUUUGUAGAGGAUGCUUCGAGCAUGGUCUGGCCUAAGUUCCUUGGAACAGGACGUCAUAGAGGGUGAGAAUCCCGUAUGCGGCCAGGUGCCUACGCUCAUGUGAAGCUCCUUCGACGAGUCGAGUUGUUUGGGAAUGCAGCUCAAAAUGGGUGGUAAAUUUCAUCUAAAGCUAAAUAUUGGCCAGAGACCGAUAGCGCACAAGUAGAGUGAUCGAAAGAUGAAAAGCACUUUGGAAAGAGAGUUAAACAGUACGUGAAAUUGUUGAAAGGGAAGCGCUUGCAACCAGACUUGCGCGCGGCCGAUCAUCCGGUGUUCUCACCGGUGCACUCGGCCGUGCUCAGGCCAGCAUCGGUUUUGGCGGCUGGAUAAAGGCCCUAGGAAUGUAGCUCCUCUCGGGGAGUGUUAUAGUCUAGGGUGCAAUGCAGCCUGCUGGGACCGAGGACCGCGCUUCGGCUAGGAUGCUGGCGUAAUGGUUGUAAGCGGCCCGUCUUGAACC
rnacentral:rRNA from 1 species